rnacentral:rRNA from 1 species
AUACAUGCAAGUCGAGCGAACAGAUAAGGAGCUUGCUCCUUUGACGUUAGCGGCGGACGGGUGAGUAACACGUGGGUAACCUACCUAUAAGACUGGGAUAACUUCGGGAAACCGGAGCUAAUACCGGAUAACAUUUGGAACCGCAUGGUUCUAAAGUGAAAGAUGGUUUUGCUAUCACUUAUAGAUGGACCCGCGCCGUAUUAGCUAGUUGGUAAGGUAACGGCUUACCAAGGCAACGAUACGUAGCCGACCUGAGAGGGUGAUCGGCCACACUGGAACUGAGACACGGUCCAGACUCCUACGGGAGGCAGCAGUAGGGAAUCUUCCGCAAUGGGCGAAAGCCUGACGGAGCAACGCCGCGUGAGUGAUGAAGGGUUUCGGCUCGUAAAACUCUGUUAUUAGGGAAGAACAAAUGUGUAAGUAACUGUGCACAUCUUGACGGUACCUAAUCAGAAAGCCACGGCUAACUACGUGCCAGCAGCCGCGGUAAUACGUAGGUGGCAAGCGUUAUCCGGAAUUAUUGGGCGUAAAGCGCGCGUAGGCGGUUUCUUAAGUCUGAUGUGAAAGCCCACGGCUCAACCGUGGAGGGUCAUUGGAAACUGGGAAACUUGAGUGCAGAAGAGGAAAGUGGAAUUCCAUGUGUAGCGGUGAAAUGCGCAGAGAUAUGGAGGAACACCAGUGGCGAAGGCGACUUUCUGGUCUGUAACUGACGCUGAUGUGCGAAAGCGUGGGGAUCAAACAGGAUUAGAUACCCUGGUAGUCCACGCUGUAAACGAUGAGUGCUAAGUGUUAGGGGGUUUCCGCCCCUUAGUGCUGCAGCUAACGCAUUAAGCACUCCGCCUGGGGAGUACGACCGCAAGGUUGAAACUCAAAGGAAUUGACGGGGACCCGCACAAGCGGUGGAGCAUGUGGUUUAAUUCGAAGCAACGCGAAGAACCUUACCAAAUCUUGACAUCCUUUGAAAACUCUAGAGAUAGAGCCUUCCCCUUCGGGGGACAAAGUGACAGGUGGUGCAUGGUUGUCGUCAGCUCGUGUCGUGAGAUGUUGGGUUAAGUCCCGCAACGAGCGCAACCCUUAAGCUUAGUUGCCAUCAUUAAGUUGGGCACUCUAGGUUGACUGCCGGUGACAAACCGGAGGAAGGUGGGGAUGACGUCAAAUCAUCAUGCCCCUUAUGAUUUGGGCUACACACGUGCUACAAUGGACAAUACAAAGGGCAGCUAAACCGCGAGGUCAUGCAAAUCCCAUAAAGUUGUUCUCAGUUCGGAUUGUAGUCUGCAACUCGACUACAUGAAGCUGGAAUCGCUAGUAAUCGUAGAUCAGCAUGCUACGGUGAAUACGUUCCCGGGUCUUGUACACACCGCCCGUCACACCACGAGAGUUUGUAACACCCGAAGCCGGUGGAGUAACCAUUUAUGGAGCUAGCCGUCGAA